AGAGCGUUAUCCGGAUUUACUGGGCGUAAAGCGCGUGCAGGCGGUCCAGCAAGUUGGAUGUGAAAGCUCCCGGCUUAACUGGGAGAGGUCGUUCAAUACUACUGGACUUGAGAGUGGUACAGGGAGGUGGAAUUCCGGGUGUAGUGGUGAAAUGCGUAGAUAUCCGGAGGAACACCAGUGGCGAAAGCGGCCUCCUGGACCACUUCUGACGCUCAGACGCGAAAGCUAGGGUAGCGAACGGGAUUAGAGACCCCGGUAGUCCUAGCCGUAAACGAUGUAGACUUGGCGUUGGUGGGUUCAAAUCCAUCAGUGCCGAAGCUAACGCGAUAAGUCUACCGCCUGGGGACUACGGCCGCAAGGUUAAAACUCAAAGGAAUUGACGGGGCCCCGCACAAGCAGCGGAGCGUGUGGUUUAAUUCGAUGAUACACGAAGAACCUUACCAGGGUUUGACAUGCAAGUGGUAGGGAUCCGAAAGGUGACCGACCCUUCGGGGAGCUUGCACAGGUGCUGCAUGGCUGUCGUCAGCUCGUGUCGUGAGAUGUUCGGUUAAGUCCGCUAACGAGCGCAACCCUCGCU
rnacentral:rRNA from 1 species